UACGUAGGGGGCAAGCGUUGUCCGGAUUUAUUGGGCGUAAAGAGCGUGUAGGCGGCCAGGUAGGUCUGCUGUGAAAACUCGAGGCUCAACCUCGAGACGUCGGCGGAAACCAUCUGGCUAGAGUCCGGAAGAGGAGAGUGGAAUUCCUGGUGUAGCGGUGAAAUGCGCAGAUAUCAGGAAGAACACCAGUGGCGAAGGCGGCUCUCUGGGACGGUACUGACGCUGAGACGCGAAAGCGUGGGGAGCGAACAGG
rnacentral:rRNA from 1 species